rnacentral:rRNA from 1 species
UACAGAGGGUGCGAGCGUUGUUCGGAAUCAUUGGGCGUAAAGCGGGCGUAGGUGGUCUUGCAAGUCAGGAGUGAAAGCCCUGGGCUCAACCCAGGAAGUGCUUUUGAAACUGCAAGACUUGAAUGUGGGAGAGGGUAGUAGAAUUCCUGGUGUAGUGGUGAAAUACGUAGAUAUCAGGAGGAAUACCGGUGGCGAAGGCGGCUACCUGGCCCAACAUUGACACUGAGGCCCAAAAGCGUGGGGAGCAAACAGG